CGAGCCUGGCCGGGUGGGGACACGGGGGUCAGCCAGGUCCGGGCGGCUCCCUGAAUCCUGGGGACCCAAAAUGGCACCCUCGACCUGAGAGCUGAGGCCCUACCAGCUCGGGACGACCGGAUUUUCUAGCCAGAAGGAGCCAGAAGCCAGCUCACCGUCCAACCCGCACCCGGCGCCUCCAUUUUCCACGAAGAGCUUCCUCUGUCCCCCACUUCCCCCGUCAAUGUGUGCGCUUUGAGCGGGGCUGUCCUCACCGCCCAGCUUCAGGGGCAAAAAGGAGUUUAACCCAGGUGAAAAAGAGUUUCCUUCCAAAGAAGAUCUAUAAAUAGCUAAGAAGCACAGGAAAACAUGUUUAACAUCAGUAGCCAUCUGGGAACCGGAAAUCAAUAUCGCAAUGAGCUACCGCUUCACACCUGCUAGGAUGGCUAUUAUCAAAAAGACAGUAACAAAUAGUAGCGAGGACGUGAAACAACUGGAGCCCUCAUAAACUGCUGAUAGACAUGGAAACACUCGGGAAAAGGGUCUGGAAGUUCCACAAACAGUUAAACAUAGAGUUACCAUAUGGCCCCACAAUUCUACUCUUAUAUACCCAAGAGAGAUGAAAACAUGUCCACAUGAAGACUCAUACAUGGAUACUCAGAGCAGCAUUGGUCACGACAGCCAAAAAGUGGAAGCAACCAGGCGUGCAUCAGCUGACAUCUGAGUAAACACAUCGAGUAAACGAGUAAAUACAAUGUGGUCUAUCCAAGCAAUGGAAUAUUAUCCAGCAAUGAAAAGGAAGCCAGUCGCAAAAGAGCACAUAUUGUAUGAUUCUAUUUAUAUGAAAUGUCCAGAAUGGGCAAAUGUAUUGAGACAGAAAGUAGAUUCCUGGUGGCCUAGGGCUGGGGGAGUGGGAGGAUUGGGAAUGACAGUUAAGGGGUACUGGUUUGUAUUUUUUUUUUUUUUUUUGAGAUGGAAUUUCACUCUUGUCCAGGCUGGAGUGCAGUGGUGCAAUCUUGGCUCACUGCAACCUCCACCUCCUGGGUUCAAGCAAUUCUCCUGCCUCAGCCUCCCAUGUAGCUGGGAUUAUAGGCAUGUACCACCACGCUUGGCUAACGUUUGUAUUUUUAGUAGAGACGGGGUUUCACCAUGUUGGUCAGGGUGGCCUCCAACUCCUGUCCUCAGGUGAUCCACCUGCCUCGGCCUUCCAAAGUGCUGGGAUUACAGGUGUGAACCACCGCGCCCAGCUGAGGUACUGGGUUACUGUGGUGGAGGGUAUUGGAAAUAUUUUAAGCUUGAUUGUGGUGAUGGAUGCACAACUCUGUGAAUAUACUACAAACCAGAAAGUGUACUCUGUAAAUGGGUGAAUCGUAUGUGAAUUAUAUCUCAAUAAAACUGUUUUUCAAAAGAGGAA